rnacentral:lncRNA from 1 species
GAAAGGGUAUCAGGUUAGCAGCUGAGUCCCGCCAAGCCCCACCCCCAAACCCCCUAGCUUUGAAACCUCUGAGCAUGCUGCCCUCGCCCCACCUCGCUUACCCAUGUGCCCCUCUGCACUCCAAUUUCCUAACCUCUUGAUGUCUCUUUCAAAAGGUGGGGACCCAAACUGUAUGCACUGUUCCAGAUGCGUUCUUGCCAAAGCAGCAUAAAGCAGAUGUAACGGGAUGGCACCUCCCUCCUCAUGAGGUCCCAGGUGGCUGACCCACGGUGGGCUUUAGACUAAGAUGGACUGAGACAGCCCUGAGUCUUGAACACACACACACUCUGCUAUCUUCAUCAACCAGGGCGCUUGCUGAUGCUUCUUCCCUCGCCUGUUUGUUAUGGGUUUCGCUCUUCCUGCUCCUGCCUUCCUGUACUUCUUCACUGCCUUUCCUAGAGUCAGACCUCAGGAGAUGGACCGGGACUUGGGAUGUCUGCAGCCCUGUAGUCCUGAGUCAACAUCUGCUAAGCUUGGCUUUGAGAUACCACUUUCUCGAACAUGCUGGCAGGCAUAAGCCUCUGGAAAGCCCCUGGGCUGCCCCUCCCCCAACACCUUUUUCUGCAUGAUUAAUUAGCUCAUAAGAUGGACUAUAUGGGAAGAAUUUUCAAGACUUUACAACUUUCUUUUUUUAAAAAAAUGUAUGCGACUUAGAGAACAAACUUGGUGGCGUGAACCCCCUUCCAUGUGUAUUCCUGUGGAAUCUGCAGAAAUCGAUGUGACAUACGGCUCCCAUCUGGGCUGUUUGUAUAAUUGUAUAUACAUAUAGCAAUAAAUAUAUUCUAAUGUCAUCUGGAGCCUGGGUUUGCAGUUCUCUCUGCACCCCGUGGCAGGCAGUGGCUAUAACCCUCGCUAACAGGUCCUCUCGACCACUAGGACCUCCUUGCUUUGUCUCAGUUUCUUGUCUUCUCCAGUUGCACUAAGUGUUAUUAAGAUGACGCAGGUCAGGGUUUGGAGAAGGGUGAGGAGGGCUCAGGGCAGAGCUGGGAUGUGAGGCGGCAUUAGUAAUUCAUGCAGUGGCACCCGGCCUGGCUGAGGGAGGUUUGAAUGUACGAGGACUGAAGCAUUGGGUGACAGUUUGCAAUGUGACUCAGCAGUCUGACAUUAGGGUGACUGUUCAGGUAGCUGAGUCACAUUGCAAACUGUCACCUUAGGAAAGUGUUGUGCCUGCAAAGAAUGUGUCAGGUACUUGCCAGGCACAGAGGUAAACUUUAAAGAGUUUUCAUAAAAAUACAUACAAGCUCUGUCACAAUAGAUGUUUUUUUCAUUGAUCAGAGAGGUUUUCAGGGUAUGAGAGCUAUACAGAGGGCACAUGAUCAGACAGCCCUUUAUCAACAGCACUGUUUAUCUACUAUCGAGGAGUGUUUAUUCACACUGUCCUCUCUUGCACUUAAAGACCUUUGAUAUCAGCAUUUUUUAUAACUUAAAAGAUAAUCAUGUGCUUUGCUGUAGUGGUGAUAGCUUAUCGAAUUUCUCAGUAGGCCUCUCCUUGGCCACACACAGAAAUUGGCAAACAACUAGAUUGGAACAUACUGUGGUGAGGGAGGGUUUGGGAGUACUGGGAAGGCCACUUUUUGUGUAUAUAAAUAAAUAAAUAAAUAAAUAAGGACCAGAAGCCCGUCGGACUCAUUAGGCUGUGAGCUACUGACCACGGCCAUGCUGUAUCAACGCCACUCUUAAUUCCAUUUCUUAGCAGACCCUCCAGAGACUCCAGUCUUCUGCUCAAGAGAGAGCCUGCCAGCCACAACCAAUGCUGCUUUUCUGGACAGAUCCUUCCUGGCUGGGGCUAGUGACUGACACAGGCAGAAGCCACUGGAAACGAUAUGCUGCGGUAGGGGAUGGGUAGUGCUUUGGGAGACUGCCUGGAAGCAGAGGCUGAGGAGGCUUAACGAUUUCCUCAGCAGGUGAGAAGCCUGGAGCUGCAGUGUGUGAUCUGCUGUAAAUUAGUGGGGAUCGGGGCUUGAACCUUGAAGCAGUUGCUCCAGCCAGGGACCUUACUCUUCUGCUGUAGACUAGGGUGUUUGAAAUGAAGGAAUGAACCAUAUACCUCCAUUUCUACACCUAAUUUCUGUUUGUAAUAUGUCUUGGAAAAGGGAAAGAAGUCACCGGCUUUUACUAUUAAACAGAAGGUGACUGGACAGCACAGAUAGGCCACCGAGGCAGGAGGAUUAAGAGUGUUGUGUUCAGUGCUCACCAAGCCCAGCACCCUACACAGAGGCAUAACACAGCAGGCCCUCUGCCCACGCUGCUUUUAUGACUCUUCUCAUAUCACUGGACAGAUGGACUGGAAGUUGAUGGCUCAGAACCCCAAAGCCCACAGUGUUGCCAUGGGAGAGAGAGAAGACAACAUCUUCCAGGUGCCAACAUCCUCACAUGCUCCCUGAAGGAACACAUGGCUAGGGAGGUUUCCCUCCUCCCCAGAGAACCCGUACAUAAGAUGAGCACUCUGGCCCUGGCUCAAGAUGCAUUCUGCAUUCCUUCCCGGGAAGAUGCAGGCGUUGACUGCAGAGUUUGUGGACAACACUGUUUCUCAUGUUUUCUUUUGGGGGAGCUGGCUGUCUGCAGAAAGUCUAGUUUCCCCCACUUGGAGGGGGGGGGUCUGCCUUUUUGGAAUUCAGUGGUAGACAGGAGGUUGAGCUACCCCAGCUAGAUCUGCAUUCUCCAGCAAGGAGCUUCUGCCAGGUGCACUGUAAUUCUCACCCCCACCUAUGCAAUCUCCUGCUUCGUUGCUCUUGUCCUGUGUCUCUCAUUUAAUGUACAUCUGACUCACCUGGAAGGUUUGCUAAGAAACUUGCUGGAAUCCUUUCUCGGACUUUGUGGUAGAGCAGACAGACCACAGCCCUGCCUCAAGCAUCUCCAUUGCUAUCACAUUCCUGGGUGAGACCAAGGCUCCUUCCCUAGGAACCACACUCGAGACCUAGAAGCACUUGUUUGGAGGGACGAGUUGUAUUUAUUGUUCUCCUCAGACAUUGCAAGAACCAAAUGUUCUCCAGGCUGAGUCAGCAGGGUGGCAUUUGCUAAACAGGGGCCAGUGAACAUUCCUUGGCCAGCAUGAGUAAUUCUUACAAAUCAAUAUCCUCUUCUGGCCUUGGCUUUGGCCUUGGGGACAAACAAGUGGUUCUGCAUUACACUCACUUCAGACUGGGCAGAACACAAGAUGAAUGGAUGCCGGCUGCACGUCUACCCGUAAAUGGUGAUUUAAGGACAGAAUCCCAUUUUCUCUCAAUAAAGCCAUAGACAGAGAGAGCCCAGUGCACAGAUAAACAAGCGCAUAGCCAGGCUUUUUAGCGAGGGUAGGAGUGAGUUGUAUGAUCCAGCUUUUCACUGAAUUAUAAGUCAAACAUCCACAGAUCAGGGGACAGCAUGACACUUCCUCACCAUGGGAAUGCAUCUGACGGAUCAGCUGGAGAGGGGACACUGACAGAGGCACUUCCCAGACCCUGAGCUGUCCCUGAAAUGGGUCUCAUCCCCAUAGAGUUCACCUACUUGAGUUCAUACAACGAGUUAAUCUGCAUAUACUCUUCAUUGCCUGACUUCACUCCACCAACACAAGAAUUCCUUCAAAUGCCUUUCGCCCCUUUGGCUUUUGUGACAACCGUAUCAAGUGUUUCUCCAGCCUUUACCAACCACCAAGGCUGCUAGAUGCCAAGCCAGUGAAGCCUUCUAAUGUCCCAGCCCAGCAUGGCUUCCUAGCCAAGCCUCUGUAGGAAUCCUCCAUUUUCUCGUCUUCCUGCAGUCUGGUCCACCCCAGUGGAGAUGUCUUCCUUACCACCCUUCCCAUUUGUAUUACACAAAGGCUCCAUAUGUUGCCUUCAAUAGUCUACCUAUAGCCUCAGAUAUCCUCCUUCUUGGGUGCGCUGAGGGUCAUGAGUUUCCAUUGAGACUGAACAUGGAGACUAUCUGGUGAGGUCCUGUGCUGGUUAGUUUUGUCAACUUGACACAAGAUAAUCACCUGAGAGGGAGAAGCCUCAACUGAGAAAAUCCCCCCUCAUAAGAUCUGGCUGUAGUUAAGUCUUUAGGGCAUUUUCUUAAUUAGUGAUUGAUGUGGGAGGACCUACCCCAUUGUGAGUGCUGUCACUCUAGGGCUCUAAGCUCUGGGUUCUAUUAAGUAGGCUGAGAAAGCCAUGUGGAGCAAGCCAGUAAGCAGCACCCCUCCAUGGCCUCUGCAUCAGCUCCUGCCUCCUGCCUAGUUUGAGUUCCUGCCCUGACUUCCUUCAGUGAUGGUUCAUGUUGUGAAAGUGUAAGCCAAAUAAACCCUUUUCCUCCACAA